GCGGGUUUAGCUCAGUUGGGAGAGCGUCAGACUGAAGGAGUUACUUCAUUCCAUCAAUGGCAAUUGAUAUCUGAAGGUCAUGUGUUCGAUCCACAUAAACCGCA
rnacentral:tRNA from 1 species